rnacentral:rRNA from 1 species
CCUACGGGUGACAGCAGUGGGGGAUAUUGGACAAUGGGGGAAACUCUGAUCCAGCGACGCCGCGUGAGUGAAGAAGUAUUUCGGUAUGUAAAGCUCUGUCAGCAGGGAAGAAAGAAAUGACGGUACCUGACCAAGAAGCCCCGGCUAACUACGUGCCAGCAGCCGCUGUAAUACGUAGGAGGCAAGCGUUCGCCGGAAUUACUGGGUGUAAAGGGAGCGUAGACGGUGAUGCAAGUCUGGAGUGAAAGGCGGGGGCCCAACCCCCGGACUGCUCUGGAAACUGGGUAACUUGAGUGCAGGAGAGGUAAGCGGAAUUCCUAGUGUAGCGGUGAAAUGCGUAGAUAUUAGGAGGAACACCAGUGGCGAAGGCGGCUUACUGGACUGUAACUGACGUUGAGGCUCGAAAGCGUGGGGAGCAAACAGGAUUAGAUACCCGAGUAGUC